rnacentral:hammerhead_ribozyme from 1 species
GCACUGCUGCGGCGUCCCAUACUAGGACGAAACGGCCGUCCAGUAC